rnacentral:rRNA from 1 species
CUGAAAUAAAGUAGGUUUAUAAGGUAAGGUGUAGCUUAGUAAAUUAUUUUAUAUUUUAAUUUAUUAAGGAUAAGCUUGAUAAAAAUAGGGAAGAUGUAUAAACCAAAUAAGUUAUGUAGGCCUGAGAUUAGCUAUCAUAAUAAAACUUGUUAUAAAAUAAUUUAUAAAAUUGGGAAAAUUUUAGUACUUGUUUUCCUGAUGUUAUAGGGGUAAUAGAAGGAAUUAGUAAUCUAAUUUGUAUAUGCUAAGAUGAGUAUUUUUAAGUUUUAAGAAGAUAAAAUAAAUUAAGAACAUCUAUAAUAAUAGUUUUUUUAAGAAGAUAAAGUAAGAAAAAGGAACUCGGCAAAUAUCAGCUCCGCCUGUUUAUCAAAAACAUGGCUCUUUGUUAGUUUAGUAUAGAGAGUUGAACCUGCCCAGUGAAAUUUUUAACGGCCGCGGUACCCUGACCGUGCAAAGGUAGCAUAAUCAUUUGCCUUAUAAUUGAAGGCUUGUAUGAAUGGUUUAACGGGAGCAUUGCUGUCUCUUUUUUAGUAGAUAGAAUUUAACUUUUAGGUGAAGAGGCUUAAAUAUAAUUGAAAGACAAGAAGACCCUAUCGAGCUUAAAAAUUAAAUUAGGAAUAAGUUAUAAAUUUAGAUUUUCCGCUAACUCAUUUUUUAAUUGGGGCGAUUAAGGAAUAGAAGAAGCUUCCUUUAGUUUGUUUGAACUUAUAGGUAUUGAUCCAGCUAAAGCUGAUUAAAAGAAUUAGUUACCGUAGGGAUAACAGCAUAAUCUCUCUUGAGAGACCUAAUCGAAAGAGGGGGUUGUGACCUCGAUGUUGGACUAGAAUAUCCUAAAGGUGCAGAAGUCU